GUUUUUCAUAAAAGAGAGAGAUCAUUCCCUUGACUUUGGACUUCGCUUAUUGAACCCCUGGACAGAAUCAAGGUUGCUAAGGGACCACCUGUGCUGAAUGCACUUUGUUCUGGCAAGAGCAGAAAACUGAGAAGCCGUGUUACCUACCACUACCUGGGAUUAAUUCAGGUGAGAAAUGGGUCUCUACUCACUCCUCAUUCCUCACUAAUUGUCUAUUCCCC
rnacentral:lncRNA from 1 species